UACGGGGGGAGCAAGCGUUGUUCGGAAUCACUGGGCGUAAAGGGCGCGUAGGCGGCUUUAUAAGUCGGGGGUGAAAGCCUGUGGCUCAACCACAGAAUUGCCUUCGAUACUGUAGAGCUUGAGACCGGAAGAGGUAAGUGGAACUGCGAGUGUAGAGGUGAAAUUCGUAGAUAUUCGCAAGAACACCAGUGGCGAAGGCGGCUCACUGGUCCGGUAUGACGCUGAGACGCGAAAGCGUGGGGAGCAAACAGG
rnacentral:rRNA from 1 species